rnacentral:rRNA from 1 species
GAUGAACGCUAGCUACAGGCUUAACACAUGCAAGUCGAGGGGUAACGAGAGGAAAGCUUGCUUUCCUUGUCGACGACCGGCGCACGGGUGAGUAACGCGUAUCCAACCUGCCCCCAACUAGGGAAUAACCUUGCGAAAGUAAGACUAAUACCCUAUAAUUUCCUCAGAUGACAUCUGACGAGGAAUAAAGAUUUAUCGGUUGUGGAUGGGGAUGCGUCUGAUUAGCUUGUUGGCGGGGUAACGGCCCACCAAGGCAACGAUCAGUAGGGGUUCUGAGAGGAAGGUCCCCAACAUUGGAACUGAGACACGGUCCAAACUCCUACGGGAGGCAGCAGUGAGGAAUAUUGGUCAAUGGGCGGAAGCCUGAACCAGCCAAGUAGCGUGCAGGAUGACGGCCCUAUGGGUUGUAAACUGCUUUUAUACAGGAAUAAAGUUAGCCACGUGUGGUUAUUUGUAGGUACUGUAUGAAUAAGGACCGGCUAAUUCCGCGCCAGCCGCCGCCGUAA